UCCCUGGAGGACUAGUGGUUAGACCUCGGUGCUCUCACCGCCGCGGCCUAGGUUCGAUUCCCGGCCAGGGAG
rnacentral:tRNA from 1 species